rnacentral:rRNA from 1 species
AGAGUUUGAUCCUGGCUCAGAACGAACGUUGGCGGCGCGCCUAACACAUGCAAGUCGCACGAGAAAGGGAGCAAUCCCCGGUACAGUGGCGCACGGGUGAGUAACACGUGGGUAACGUUCCCUUGAGCGGGGGAUAACCUUCCGAAAGGAGGGCUAAUACCGCAUAAGACCACAGCUGGUACGCCAGCAGAGGUUAAAGCAGGCCUCUACACGUAAGCUUGCACUCGAGGAUCGGCCCGCGGCCCAUCAGCUAGUUGGUGGUGUCAAAGACCACCAAGGCUAAGACGGGUAGCUGGUCUGAGAGGAUGAUCAGCCACACUGGAACUGAGACACGGUCCAGACUCCUACGGGAGGCAGCAGUGGGGAAUCUUGCGCAAUGGGCGAAAGCCUGACGCAGCGACGCCGCGUGGGUGAUGAAGGCCUUCGGGUUGUAAAGCCCUGUGGGGAGGGACGAAUAAGUUCGACCUAAUACGUCGAGCGAUGACGGUACCUCUUUAGCAAGCACCGGCUAACUCUGUGCCAGCAGCCGCGGUAAGACAGAGGGUGCAAACGUUGUUCGGAAUUACUGGGCGUAAAGCGCGUGUA